UACGUAGGUGGCAAGCGUUGUCCGGAAUUAUUGGGCGUAAAGCGCGCGCAGGCGGUCCUUUAAGUCUGAUGUGAAAGCCCACGGCUCAACCGUGGAGGGUCAUUGGAAACUGGGGGACUUGAGUGCAGGAGAGAAGAGUGGAAUUCCACGUGUAGCGGUGAAAUGCGUAGAGAUGUGGAGGAACACCAGUGGCGAAGGCGAAUCUCUGGACCGGUUCUGACGCUGAGGAGCGAAAGCUAGGGGAGCAAACAGG
rnacentral:rRNA from 1 species